rnacentral:rRNA from 1 species
UACGGGGGGGGCAAGCGUUGUUCGGAAUUACUGGGCGUAAAGGGCGCGUAGGCGGCCUGCUAAGUCGGAUGUGAAAUCCCUCGGCUCAACCGAGGAACUGCAUCCGAUACUGGCGGGCUUGAAUCCGGGAGAGGGAUGUGGAAUUCCAGGUGUAGCGGUGAAAUGCGUAGAUAUCUGGAGGAACACCAGAGGCGAAGGCGGCUAACUGGGCAUGUACUGACGCUGAGGCGCGAAGGCUAAGGGAGCAAACAGGG